GAUGAACGCUAGCGGCAGGCUUAACACAUGCAAGUCGAGGGGCAUCGAGAGUAGCAAUACUUGUCGGCGACCGGCGCAAGGGUGCGUAACACGUGAGCAACAUACCCGUUUCAGGAGGAUAACCGGAGGAAACUCUGCCUAAUACUCCAUGACAUCAUCAAACGGCAUCGUUUGAUGAUUAAAGAUUUAUCGGAAACGGCUUGGCUCGCGGGACAUUAGCUCGUUGGUGAGGUAACGGCUCACCAAGGCCACGAUGUCUAGGGGUUCUGAGAGGAAGGUCCCCCACACUGGAACUGAGACACGGUCCAGACUCCUACGGGAGGCAGCAGUGAGGAAUAUUGGACAAUGGUCGGAAGACUGAUCCAGCCAUGCCGCGUGAAGGUUACUGUCCUAUGGAUAUUAAACUUCUUUGUAUGAGAGCAAUAAGGUGCACGCGUGCACCGAUGAGAGUAUCAUACGAAUAAGCAUCGGCUAA
rnacentral:rRNA from 1 species